AUGAACGCUGGCGGCGUGCCUCAUACAUGCAAGUCGCGCGAACGGACGAGAAGCUUGCUUUUCUGAUGUUAGCGGCGGACGGGUGAGUAACACGUGGAUAACCUACCUAUAAGACUGGGAUAACUUCGGGAAACCGGAGCUAAUACCGGAUAAUAUUUUGAACCGCAUGGUUCAUAAGUGAAAGACGGUCUUGCUGUCACUUAUAGAUGGAUCCGCGCUGCAUUAGCUAGUUGGUAAGGUAACGGCUUACCAAGGCAACGAUGCAUAGCCGACCUGAGAGGGUGAUCGGCCACACUGGAACUGAGACACGGUCCAGACUCCUACGGGAGGCAGCAGUAGGGAAUCUUCCGCAAUGGGCGAAAGCCUGACGGAGCAACGCCGCGUGAGUGAUGAAGGUCUUCGGAUCGUAAAACUCUGUUAUUAGGGAAGAACAUAUGUGUAAGUAACUGUGCACAUCUUGACGGUACCUAAUCAGAAAGCCACGGCUAACUACGU
rnacentral:rRNA from 1 species